GGACGGUUAGCUCAGUUGGUAGAGCACUGUGUUCACAUCGCAGGGGUCACUGGUUCGAGUCCAGUACCGUCCA
rnacentral:tRNA from 1 species